GUGGGGAAUCUUGCGCAAUGGGCGAAAGCCUGACGCAGCCAUGCCGCGUGAAUGAUGAAGGUCUUAGGAUUGUAAAAUUCUUUCACCGGGGACGAUAAUGACGGUACCCGGAGAAGAAGCCCCGGCUAACUUCGUGCCAGCAGCCGCGGUAAUACGAAGGGGGCUAGCGUUGCUCGGAAUUACUGGGCGUAAAGGGCGCGUAGGCGGACAGUUUAGUCAGAGGUGAAAGCCCAGGGCUCAACCUUGGAAUUGCCUUUGAUACUGGCUGUCUUGAGUACGGGAGAGGUGAGUGGAACUCCGGGUGUAGAGGUGAAAUUCGUAGAUAUGCGGAAGAACACCAGUGGCGAAGGCGACUCACUGGCCCGUUACUGACGCUGAGGCGCGAAAGCGUGGGGAGCAAACAGGAUUAGAUACCCGGGUAGUCC
rnacentral:rRNA from 1 species